rnacentral:pre_miRNA from 2 species
AGUGCAAUUGCUGGGUCAUACGGUAAUUGCACGUUUAGUUUUAUAAGAAACCACCAAACUGUUUUCCAAAGUGGUUGUACCAUUUUAUAUUCCCACCAGCAAU